rnacentral:lncRNA from 1 species
AUGGGAGCUUCUUUUAGUCCUUCUUGUUUCUUUUGCUUUAUUUCUUCUUUUUUUGUCUUCUGCUGUGUCUGGAAUGGACUAAGGAAUGGCAGUGCCUCAUGACAGAGAUUGUCUUCAUGUCUCCUUGUUGGCCAUCAGGAAAUCAGGAACUUGAGAUGAUCACCCAAGUAGCUGAGGCCCAGGGUUGCUGCAGUCCUUAUCUUCUGCUGAGACAUCUGUCUUCAUUACCUCUUCGUCUAGGUACUCUGACCUCAAGGAUCCAGUUGGAGUAGAUUGCUUGUUUAAGGUUUUCAGAGGUA